AUUGAACGCUAGCGGGGUGCUUUACACAUGCAAGUCGAACGAGUGGCGGACGGGUGAGUAAUGUAUGGGAACGUGCCCCGUAGCGGGGGAUAACCACUCGAAAGGGUGGCAAAUCCCGCAUACUAUUGGAGCGGCCGAUAUCGGAUUAGCUAUUUGGUGGGGUAGAGGCUGACCAAGGCAACGAUGCGUAGCGGGUGUGCUAGGACGACCAGCCACACUGGGACUGAGACACGGCCCAGACGCCUACGACAGGUAGCAGUGGGGAAUUUGGGACAAUGGGGGAAACCCUGAUCCAGCCAUCCCGCGUGUAUGAGAAGGCCUUCGGGUUGUAAAGUACUUUUGGCUGUGAAGCGGUAUCUGCAGAAUAAGCGCCGGCUAACUACGUGCCAGCAGCCGCGGUAAUUC
rnacentral:rRNA from 1 species